GACGAACGCUGGCGGCGUGCUUAACACAUGCCAGUCGAACGGAAAGGCCCUGCUUUUGUGGGGUGCUCGAGUGGCGAACGGGUGAGUAACACGUGAGUAACCUGCCCUUGACUUUGGGAUAACUUCAGGAAACUGGGGCUAAUACCGGAUAGGAGCUCCUGCUGCAUGGUGGGGGUUGGAAAGUUUCGGCGGUUGGGGAUGGACUCGCGGCUUAUCAGCUUGUUGGUGGGGUAGUGGCUUACCAAGGCUUUGACGGGUAGCCGGCCUGAGAGGGUGACCGGCCACAUUGGGACUGAGAUACGGCCCAGACUCCUACGGGAGGCAGCAGUGGGGAAUAUUGCACAAUGGGCGGAAGCCUGAUGCAGCAACGCCGCGUGCGGGAUGACCGCCUUCGGGUUGUAAACCGCUUUCGCCUGUGACGAAGCGUGAGUGACGGUAAUGGGUAAAGAAGCACCGGCUAACUACGUG
rnacentral:rRNA from 1 species